rnacentral:rRNA from 1 species
AUUGAACGCUGGCGGCAGGCCUAACACAUGCAAGUCGCGCGAGCGGCGGACGGGUGAGUAAUGUAUGGGGAUCUGCCCGAUGGCGGGGGAUAACUACUGGAAACGGUAGCUAAUACCGCAUACCAUCAGAUGAACCCAUAUGGGAUUAGCUAGUAGGUAAGGUAACGGCUUACCUAGGCGACGAUCCCUAGCUGGUCUGAGAGGAUGAUCAGCCACACUGGGACUGAGACACGGCCCAGACGCCUACGGGAGGCAGCAGUGGGGAAUAUUGCACACUGGGCGCAAGCCUGAUGCAGCCAUCGCCCGUGUAAGAAGAAGACCUUCGGCUGGUAAUGUACUCACGGCUGGGCGGCGUUACCGACAGCAUAAGCACCGGCUAACUACGUGCCAGCAGCCGCGGUAAUAC